CAGGGAAAGAAUGGGGGCUUCCUCUUAGAAAUGAAAUGUGACCUGAAGCGGUCAUAUAAUAGCAGUGGCUGACUAACAGCUGUGGCUGGUUGCUGUUGGACACCGCACUGUACCUGCUUUAAAAUGGAACCAAAAGGCCUUUUAAAAUACUUAUUAAAAACGUAACCACUCUCAGAGAUCACACACACAAAUGUUUUUAAAAUAAAUUUACUGUCUGUAACCCAUUCCCAAUAGACUUGUAGGGUUGUGUUUAAUCUUUGUUAAUUUAGUCUUAUGAAAUUAGUUAUCAAUUAAUAUAUAAUUAUAAUUAUAUAAUUCUUGCUACAUUAAAAACAGCCUCAGAUAAAAACUCACUUUUAUUCUUGCAUGGACAGAAAAAGUGGAACUACUCUGUCUUUGAAUUUACAAAAGUGAAGUUAGUGAAAGCAAUACAGUUCAUUUAUAUUUUGCUUGUUAACAUGGUUUGUAGGGAGUGUCGUAAAUCCCUCCGGACCAAAAGGUAGCGCUAAUGAGCCGGUAAAAAAGCAAAUAGAAGACCGCGAACGUUGGGAGGAAGUCUCAGUUUUCUUCGGCAAGAAGUCACCGACGCAAUCUCCGAGGUAAGGUACGUGCGUGUGCCUAACCUGUACGACCCCGCAAGGACCUCUUCACAGUCGAUAAUCAUGAACUUUUCCAGGACUUGACCAGUGAAUUUCUUGCCACUUUUGGUGCAAAUGUAGACUGGGACUCGUCGCUUGUUAGAUGCCUCCAUGAGAUCACAGAGCAGGUCGACAUCUGUGAACAGGUCCAUGACUACGGCGAUGACCUGGAGG